rnacentral:sRNA from 1 species
ACAUGUGACGGUGAUCUGGCCGAGACUGCUGUCCUUGAUCACCAGCGCUGACCCGGCUAAUCUGCUGGUUAGGCUGGCGUCCCUCCCUCCCUCACGGUUCCAUGUGUGUCUGGAGCUGAGCACUCUGUUGAGGAGGACAACUGUCCCUGGAAGAGGAGGACUGUUCUUCUGUCAAAGGUUCGUACUAGAAUCUCCAAACAAGCCCCCCAAACUCCUCACCGACAGAAGAAUCCUAAUGGCCCGUGUCAUGUGCCUUUG